GAUGAACGCUGGCGGCGUGCCUAAUACAUGCAAGUCGAGCGAAUGGAUUAAGAGCUUGCUCUUAUGAAGUUAGCGGCGGACGGGUGAGUAACACGUGGGUAACCUGCCCAUAAGACUGGGAUAACUCCGGGAAACCGGGGCUAAUACCGGAUAGCAUUUUGAACCGCAUGGUUCGAAAUUGAAAGUCGGCUUCGGCUGUCACUUAUGGAUGGACCCGCGUCGCAUUAGCUAGUUGGGGAGGUAACGGCUCACCAAGGCAACGAUGCGUAGCCGACCUGGGAGGGUGAUCGGCCACACUGGGACUGAGACACGGCCCAGACUCCUACGGGAGGCAGCAGUAGGGAAUCUUCCGCAAUGGACGAAAGUCUGACGGAGCAACGCCGCGUGAGUGAUGAAGGCUUUCGGGUCGUAAAACUCUGUUGUUAGGGAAGAACAAGUGCUAGUUGAAUAAGCUGACACCUUGACGGUACCUAACCAGAAAGCCACGGCUAACUACGUGCCAGCAGCCGCCGUAA
rnacentral:rRNA from 1 species